AAAACCAGGUUGAGUUUGGACGCGAACUUUGACGGCCUCCAUGGGGCAGAGAGCAACGUCUGCAAUUACUUCGGCAGAUGCCGAACCAGCAAGGCACCCUGAGCACUGUAACCAAGCAAGGUCGGCACCCACCCCCGGAAGAACCCUCUCGCUCCCUGCUCCUUGAGCAGAAUUCCAAAACCCGACGAGAUAUUCUUGUACUUUGUGGGGUCGAUCUAAAAUUUGGAAUAGAAAUUAAAAUAGUGGCCACUGGCCAGAACCAGAAGAGUAUAUUAAAAGAACAUGUUUUCUGUAUAUUGGUAGAGUUAGGAGUAUGAAACUAACAAUUGUUUAAUGGCGUGAAGAUAAGAUCAUGAGGGAGAUUGAACUUAGAUAUAGUAAUUAUUGAGGACCUGCAUAUUGCACUUGACGAGAUCGAGGGGGGUGACAGCCAUGUGGGUGAGUCCACAGCUCAAAAUUCCGCCUGCUGUGCAUGCUGCGUAGAAGGCCGGUGAAUGCAUCUUAAUCUUCUCCUUUGGAGCUGGAAUUGGGAAGCUCUUGCCAUAACUGGAUCGCGUCGAUUCCGUACUACGCAGUGUACGGGAAGAUGAGUAUAGAAAGCUCGGGAUGAGAGAUUGCUGGACAUCUUUGGAGAGAGCCAUUGGUGCGUUGCCUCUUAGUAAUUGGUAAUUGGUGUCCUCCUGACACUAAUCUCUUUAAGGAAGAGAAUAUGGAUUUGACUAUAAAAAGGGCGGGGGAAUUGGAAUAUAUGUGGUGAUAAUUAUUGGCAGAUAAAAAUUUUAUAAUAUCGAUUGCACUGGAAAAUGUUUGAGAA